CCUACGGGGGGCAGCAGUGAGGAAUAUUGGUCAAUGGUCGGGAGACUGAACCAGCCAAGCCGCGUGAGGGAUGAAGGUACAGAGUAUCGUAAACCUCUUUUGUCAGGGAACAAAGGCGGGGACGUGUCCCCGGUUGAGUGUACCUGAAGAAAAAGCAUCGGCUAACUCCGUGCCAGCAGCCGCGGUAAUACGGAGGAUUCGAGCGUUAUCCGGAUUUAUUGGGGUUAAAGGGUGCGCAGGCGGGCUGUUAAGGCAGCUGUCAAAGCCCGGGGCCUAACCCCGGCCCCGCAGGUGAAACGGGCAGUCUUGAGUUGGGGAGAGGUAAGCGGAAUGCGCGGUGUAGCGGUGAAAUGCAUAGAUAUCACGAAGAACUCCGAUUGCGAAGGCAGCAUGCCGGCUCCACACUGACGCUGAGGCACGAAAGCGUGGGUAUCGAACAGGAUUAGAUACCCCGGUAGUC
rnacentral:rRNA from 1 species